rnacentral:rRNA from 2 species
UUGGAAGAGUUUGAUCCUGGCUCAGGAUGAACGCCGGCGGUGUGCCUAAUACAUGCAAGUCGAGCGCACUGGCCCAACAGAAAUGACGUGCUUGCACUGAUUUGACGUUGGAUUCCCAGUGAGCGGCGGACGGGUGAGUAACACGUGGGCAACCUGCCCCAAAGCGGGGGAUAACAUUUGGAAACAGGUGCUAAUACCGCAUAACUUGGAAAACCACAUGGUUUUCCAAUAAAAGAUGGUUUCGGCUAUCACUUUGGGAUGGGCCCGCGGUGCAUUAGCUAGUUGGUAAGGUAACGGCUUACCAAGGCGAUGAUGCAUAGCCGAGUUGAGAGACUGAUCGGCCACAAUGGAACUGAGACACGGUCCAUACUCCUACGGGAGGCAGCAGUAGGGAAUCUUCCACAAUGGGCGCAAGCCUGAUGGAGCAACACCGCGUGAGUGAAGAAGGGUUUCGGCUCGUAAAACUCUGUUGUUGGAGAAGAACGUGCGUAAGAGUAACUGUUUACGCAGUGACGGUAUCCAACCAGAAAGUCACGGCUAACUACGUGCCAGCAGCCGCGGUAAUAA